AAAUCUUGCCAUCACAGAGUGUGGGAUCCCAGCUGACAACCAGAGAAUGAUGUGGAGGAAAUUUGAUAUUCCUAGUUACAUGUGCAGUUUACAAGUCCCUCAGGGCACCCCGGGACUCCCAGUACUAUAGAAGUGAUGGUGUACGACUGAUAUCUGGCAUGGAAGAAUGACCUUGGUCUCUCCUAAAUGCUCUGGGGCAUCCAGCCGCUGUGUCAUUUGGACUCUCGGGCAGCUAUAUGGGUUAUGGAUGACAAGGACCAGUCUAACCUCACGCCAGAGGCAUCAGACUGCAAGACUGACCUGGUCAGCUUACCUGUGGUCCCCUCCUGCUGGGACCCGGAAGUGCACUCAGGUCACAAGCCCCGCCCACACACCGAGGAGCUGUCCGAGGUCCUGCCAAAGGAGGGCGAGACCUGAGCCUGAGCUCCAGCCUGCUCACUUCCUGCAGGUGCUCAACAGAGAUGGUGAGCUGCAAGAGGUGGGUUAGCACUUCUCUGUCAGCAAUGAGCAUGAGGCCUGGCAUGCCGCACAUGUGAACCAAACAUUCGCUGGGAGGAACUGAGCCUCCCACCUCCAAGUUGGAGAAGGAAGGGGGUAGCAGUGACACUUGGGAUGCAGACUGGACACUUUCAUAGCCCCCCUGAUCCAGUGACCUAUCUCCAUGGAGCAGGGGCCUUGAAGGAGCCUGCAGUCUUCCUCUGAUCAGGAAAAGCAAUGAUGCAGCACAGCCUGCCAGGGCCACUGGCCAGUCUGACAGAAGGGUGACAGGCAUCACGGUGACAAUCAUGCUGGAAAUGACACAUGGCUCUCCUCCAGACGUGAUGUGGAAAAAUUCAGACUUGGAAGGGCCCUUUUUAAGCUUCAGCAAAGAGACUGGGAAGGAGUAAAGACAGUCUAUAAAAAUGUUUAGGGAACCUGGACUUCACACCUGAGUAUUGCUUUUGUGAAUUUAGCAAAUGAAAUAACAGCUCUAAGAUUGCCUUAUAAAGUUAAGAAUAGUUUGAGACUGCACUGAAUGGUUCGAGGGGCCCAGAAAGCAGGGAAGAGACGACAGGGCUUCUCUCAGGCUUCACUUUCUCACCUUCUGUAUCGGGCACAUAGGAGAGAAAGUGCUGAGUACAACUCACAAGUUUGGCCACGCUGUGACCAUGGCAGGCCAUCAGCUUCCUCACUAGAAAAUAGUAAUGAGUACAGUGCCCACCCGCAGGCAUGCAGUGACCCCCCAGCCAUGCCAUAACCCACUCCCCCCAACCAGCCAUGCCGUGAUGCCGACACACUGUUGACUGUUCGGGGCAACUGUGGAUGAAAAGGCCUGUUACACAUGCAAGCUCAAGACAGGCUUCUCUUAGUAUUACCCAGGUUCUGGAGGGCCUCGGAGUCAAAAAAGAGAGCUAUUAUUCUAGUGAGCUAUCUAGGACAUCACAACACAAGCAGUUGCCACAUGUUUUAUGAGGAAGGCAACCUUCACAAUGGUGACCAAGGCUCCC
ensembl:lncRNA